AGAUUUGGAAGUCAUCGCGGCACCGAGAAAAAGAGAGAGAGAGAGAGAGAGAGAGAGUGUGUGAUGACUCUUACGGAAGCAAAAGAGAACUUUGCCUUGUUUUUAUCUCAUUUCUCUAUUUAGUGUCAUAAAUAUUUAUAUGUGGACCACCUGAUGUUCUCGCUGGAACCGGUGGUGGAACCGACGAUGUAGGCAAGCUGGGCGGGGCAUGCUGAGGUGGAGGAAUUUGUCUUUGCGGUAAUGGAGGAGG